AUUGAACGCUGGCGGCAGGCCUAACACAUGCAAGUCGAACGAGUGGCGGACGUAUGAGUAAUGUCUGGGAAACUGCCUGAUGGAGGGGGAUAACUACUGGAAACGUUAGCUAAUACCGCAUACCAUCAGAUUUGCCCAGAUGGGAUUCGAUGGUUGGUGGGGUAACGGCUCACCAAGGCGACGAUCCCUAGCUGGUCUGAGAGGAUGACCAGCCACAAGGGAACUGUGACCCGGUCCAGACUCAUACGGGAGGCAGCAGUGGGGAAUAUUGCAGAAGGGGCGCGAGCCUGAUGCAGACAUGCCGAGUGUAUGAAUAAGGCCUUCGGGUUGUAAAGUAAUUUCAGCGGGGAGGCGUUACCCGCAGAAGAAGCACCGGCUAACUCCGUGCCAGCAGCCGCGGUAAUAC
rnacentral:rRNA from 1 species